rnacentral:lncRNA from 1 species
CCCUCUGCCCCUCCGCCCCUCCGCCUGUCCGCCUCUCUCCUUCUCCCUUGUUCCCUCUCUCCCUCCCUGCUCCCCCACCUCCCUCCCGAGUCGUAGACUCCCUUCCCCCCGGCGCUGGGAGUCUCCUUCCCGCCCCGCCGCGCAGGUGCGGCGACGGCCGCGUCACUGGAGAGUGUGUCGAGUCACAGGCGGUCUUCCGCGCGGAGCGUCCCCGGCGGACGCUGCGCAGAUGGCUGCGACUGUAGGAUUCUUGCCGGCUAGUCUUCGUCGGUUCCGCCUGCGUCAGGUUACUCGUGAAAACUCGAAUAAGUGCUAUCGAUGUGAAAUCCGAGGAAAAGAGCAUUUGGGGGAAAAGUAAGGAAAACUCAAAACUCGGAUUGAGAAGUCUGCCUUGGCUCAUUAAUCAAGAAUUGCGCUUGCGCGCCUAAAUGUGACUGCCUUUAUCCUGCGAUGUCGGUAUUGAAGUAAGAGCAAUACUGGCGGCGUACCUAGCAUUUAGCGACCAUCAGUAUCAGUAGCAGGCCUCUAGCAAAGAACCAGUUAGUGAGCUUUGUACCAUAUCGAAAAUUAUAAGCCGUCCAAAAAAGUGUGAGAGUAAGGAAAAUGGCAGAUUAGAAUCAAAAUAUUUUUAUACCUGUGUCAUACAAGGGUACUUUGAAAAUAGAAAACCAGGUGGAAAUACCACAAAACUUAUUGUAUAUGUUGACACCGAAGAUGGUUUACAAUAGGGAAGAACAGGUGCAAUCAUGCUUGUUCUGUUUCAUGCCAAAUUCCGAAGAUUCACAGUAAGAAUUUAAUCAGAGGUCUUUAUAUUGGAAAAUAUUGCCUAACUGUAGCCUGCUUCAGGCUUGGUUAAUAUAGUUGUGAAACUAGACAUUAAGGCCCUGUAAUACAGACAAAACUUUAAAGAAAUAGGUCAUUUAAAAUGUCCCGUAGAAAAAUGAACAAAAUUCUGUUACUUCAGUUUGCUAAAUAGUGUUUUGUUUUUUUACCAAGUUACAAACACGAUUACACUAAUAUAUUCACACGUCGAUUAUGGUAGUCUUAAGAAGAGCAGUUUAGAGGAGACAGGAGCUUGAGUAAAAGGGAACUUAAGACCAAGUUGACUCGUAGGAAGAUACGGAAGAUAAAAGAGAAUUGAGGUAAUUAAUCUAUCAGUCAUGCUAGAGACAGGAAUGAUUUUUCCAAUAGGAGGUGAAGGUACACAGAUGUUUGUCUUUACUGGGAAUAAUGCCACAGUGGAAGACAAAGGUAAUAUAGAAAAUAAAAUAUUAAGAAGGAAUUAAGUAUUAAGAAGGAUCGUGGAUUUGAGGUGGAGUGGAGGAAAUUUGGAAUUAAUCUUUGUGCUAAGAAACUAACAGGACGAAUGAAGAUUGCUGAAUAGUACCAGCGAAGUGAUUAUUCCAAAGUAGACAAGAAAAAAAUAUUGGUAAAUUUAAAACUUGACAGAUUACUUUGAAUUGUCUAUAACAUUUUCUUCUUUCUGUUAAUAUUAGGUCUUGAAAAAUUGAAUAUUACAAAAUAAGAUGUCUGAGAGAACAUAGUGCUAUUAGUCCAUAUAAAUUACAUGUCAUAAUAUUAGACUUCCAAAAGCACCAUGACUCUGUAUUUUUAAAAUACCUCUUGAAUGAUAGAUGCAUGAAAUGAAAUACUAGGUUUUUAUACCAAGAUAUUCAACGCUUAUUUCCUUCUUUUGCCACUGGUUAAAAAAUGUAUGUAAUAUGCUCUUUUAUAAGAUUUCAAUUGAAAGUGGCCAACUUUAAAUUUAUUUUAUAGCAUAACUAAAAGUUCUAUAAUAAUACCAUGUUCCUUUUUAACAUUUUAAAAUAUUUUCAGAAGUCUGUGGAAGAUUUUUUUGCAGUGAAUCAUGCCACUAAUCAUUGGAUUAGUGGGUGCUAUUGUAAUGGGCUUUAAAAUUUCAUAUAAAGAUUUAGUCUAAGGCCUCAAUUGCCAACUACAUGGUUUUACAAAUAUGUUAGAUCUGAGAAUGGAAGCUGAGUGAUGGGGAUGAAAGAGAAAAAGCACAGGAUAAGGAGUGAUUGUUUAUUUAGCAACCUCUGUGUGCCUGGAACUCAAUAUAUUACACUUUAUCCUUAGUUCUCAAAACGGGGUUUUGGAAAUAGAUGUUAAUAGCUACAUUUUAUAGAUAAGGUAUUGAAGCCAAAGGAGGUUAAAAAAAAUAAUCAAGUCUGACUCUAGAGUCUCUAUUAUUUCCAUCAUACUAUUAGAUGAAAAGUGUGUGUAUGUGUUUAUGUUUGUGAUAAGCAAAGAGAAAAGGCAGUUCCAAAAGCAGUGGUUAGAGUUGGCCAACUGCAAUAACAUUAUUGUGAGGUUAGUUUUCUCUUAGGAAAUUUAUAUCACCUAAUAGAAUCAAAAGCAAACUGAUUGUAUAGAUUAGAGAGGACUGUGAUAAAUAAACCAUCAUAUGAAGUAAUUACAAAUAAUCCCUGACUUUAUGAAAUUUAUAUUCAUAUGUUUUUUAAGUUGUAAAGAAAAAAAGACUGUAAAGAAACACACCAACCACUUUGAUAUGGUUUUUGUUUUAAUGACUUAAAAUGGACAUCAAGCUAAUCUUACGACACUAUUUCAUUUAAUUUUUUUCACAGUGCAAAGUGAAAGCAAGUUUAUUAAGAAAGUAAAGGAAUAAAAGACAAUUAAAAAUUAAAAAUAUACCAUUGGCUACUUCAUAGGCAGAGCAGCCUCACUACCCUAUUUUAAAUCUUCCAGUGCUUCUCCUCUUAAAAUUCAAAUGGCUACUGUUGACUUUAAGGCCCUCCAUCAAGUUGCUCUUGUGUCUUUUCCUACUGUUCUCAUUUAUUAUAUGUUUACAGCCUUUUUCUGUUCUCUAGAAUCUAAGCUUCAUGAGGUCAAAAAGAACCCCUUAAUUUUAUUAGUUACUUCUAUAUCUAGCAGUUAGAACACUAGGGUAAACAAUCUAUCAAUUUUUUUUGUCUGUGAGAUGAAGUCUCUCACUCUGUUGCCCAGGCUGGAGUGCAGUGGUGUGAUCUCAGCUCACUGCAGUCUCAGCUCACUGCAAUCUCCACUUCCUGGGUUCAAGCAAUUCUUCUUCCUCAGCCUCCUGAGUAGCUGGGAUUAUAGGCACCCACCACCACACCUGGCUAAUUUUUGUAUUUUUAGUAGAGAUGGGGUUUCACCAUGUUGGCCAGGCUGGUCUUGAACUCCUGACACAAAUGAUCCUCCCAUCUCAGCAUCCCAAGGUGCUGGGAUUACGUGAGCCACCAUGCCCAGUUCAAUCUAACUAUUUUUUGAAUGAAUGAACUUUUAAAAAAUGAAAUGAAAAACAUGGUUUAGAAAAAGUCGUAAGGAGUCUACACAGUAAUUUCUAGAACUAAAAAACAAACUCAGCAGGGUUUCAGAAUAUAAGAUAAUAGACAAAAAUCAGUUGUACUUUUAUGUACUAGCAAUGAACACAUGGAAACCAAAAUUAAAAAUAUACCAUUGAUAAUUGCUCAAAAUAAAAACUAUGUAGGUGUAAAUCUGACAGUGGAUGUACAGGACUCAUGCUGAAAACAACAAAACACUGAUGAAAGAAAUCGAAGAUCUAAAUAAAUGACCAUAUACAUGGAUUGGAGGACUCACCAUAGUGUAGAUGUUAAUGAUCUCUAAAUCGAUAUGCAGGUUUAAUACAAUUCCUAUUAAAACUCCAGGCAGGUUUUUUUUUUCUUCUUCAUAUACAGGCAAGAUUAUUCUAAAAUGUAUUUGGAAAAACAAAUCAGAGUAGCUUCAACAAUUCUGAAAAGGAGGAAUUAAGUGAGAGGGAUCAUUUUACCUGUGUUUGUUCUUAUGCUGCUAAUAAAGACGUAUCUGAGACUGGGUAAUUUAUAAAGGAAAGGUUUAUAAACACAGUUCAGCAUGGCUGGGGAGGCCUCAGGAAACUUAAAAUCAUGGUGGAAGGGGAAGCAAACAUAUCCUUUCACAUGGCAGCAGGAAGGAGAAGAACGAGAGCUGAGCUAAGGGGGAACCCUGUUAUAAAAUCAUCAGAUCUCGUGAGAACUUAUAUCACGAGAACAGGAAGGGGGAACCUGCCCCCAUGAUUCAAUUAUAUCCACCUGUUUCUUCCUUCAACACGUGGGGAUUAUGGGCAUUGCAAUUCAAGAUAAGAUUUGGGUAGGGACAGAGCCAAACCAUAUCACUACCCAAAAAUAAUACUCAUUGUAUGCCAGGGUAAUUAAGACAGUAUGGUAAUGGCAGAGAGACACAUAGAUCAGUGAAAUGGGCAACAAUAACCUAGACCCACACAAAUACACCAAACUGAUUUUUGACAGAGAUUCAAAAGCCAUUCAGUGAAGGAAGGAUGGUGUUUUCAACAAAUGGUGCUGGAGUAACUGGAUGUUCAUAGGCAAAAAAGAAAUGAGAAAAUUCUAUAACUGGGAGAAAACAACAGUACCACUGGACUGUACUGCUACAGGGUUUCACAGAAGCCCCAAACUUAUUUGGUCAAAUCUUAGUCCUGGAGGAAUUCCAACCUUCCAGGGGAACCCAGUUGUUACAAUAUGUAGAUGAACUUUUAAUAUCUGGCAAAAGGAAGGCCGAGUGAUCAGAAACCACCAUAAUCUUGCCUUAUUUUCUUUGAGAAAGGGGAUUGCGAGUCUCUAAGAACAAAUUGCAGUUUGUAGAAAAAGAAGUUAAAUAUUUAGGACACCUGAUUGGUGAAGGGAAGUGGAUAAUAAACUCAGAAUAUUGGGAAUAGUGGGUUUGCCUUUGCCUAAGACAAAGAGAAAACUCCAAAAAUUUUUAGGUUUAACUGGCUACAGUAGGUUAUGGAUUGACUCAUAUGCUUAAAAGACAAAAUUCUGUAUCUCAAGUUACUAGAAGAGGAGCCCAAUCCCUUGUAAUGGUCCCUAGAUGAAAUUAAGGCAGUGAAAGAGCUAAAGCAGGCCCUCAUUACAGUCCUGGUCCUGGCCCUCCCAUCUUUAGAGAAACCAUUCUAUCUGUUUGUAACAGUAGACCGGGGCAUGGCCCUUGGGGUGCUCACUCAAACCUGGGGAGGGAAGAGGCAACCUGUUGCUUUUGUCUCCAAGCUUCUCGAUCCUGUCUCUCAGGGGUGAUCUGAAUGUGUGCAAGCAGUAGCUGCGACAGCCCUGCUGGUAGAGGAGAGUCGAAAGCUAAUGUUUGGUGGGGCCCUAAUAGUAAACACCCCACACCAGGUCAGGAAUAUAUUAAAUCAGAAAGCUGGGAGAUGGUUAGUGGAUUCUCAGAUUCUAAAAUAUGAAGCCAUAUUACUAGAAAAAGAUUAUUUGGUUGUAACACCAGAUACUUGCCUGAAUCCAGCCAGUGUCCUAUGGAAAGGAGACCAGAACAAAGAGACAUCAGAUCAUAACUGCUUAGAUACCAUAGAAUACCAAGCCAAAGUUAGACCAGACCUUAGGGAAGCUCCACUACGUGAUGGAUUAGACUGUUUGUGGAUGGGUCAUCCGGAGUGAUAGAUGGCAAGGGACUUAAUGGUUAUGCUGUCUUUGAUGGAAAUAAACACUCAUUAUGUGAGAAAGGUAGAUUACCUAAUGGCUGGUCGGCCCAAAAAUGUGAAUUACAUGCUCUUGACCAGGCCCUAAAGCUCCUUGAAGGCCAGGAAGGAAAUAUAUAUACUGAUUCUAAAUGUGCCUAUGGGGUGGUACACACUUUUGGAAAAAUCUGGACAGAGCGGGGCCUAAUAAAUAGCAAGGGAAAAGAAUUGGUACACGGGGAACUGGUCAAACAGGUUUUAGAAAGUCUCCUGCUUCCAGCAGAGGUAGCCAUAGUUCAUGUAAAUGAUCAUCAGAACGGGAACACUAUAGAAGCUGUAGGAAACAGGUUUGUGGAUGAAGCUGCUAGGCAAGCCUCCCUGGAGGAAGAAAUUAGACUAUUUAGCCUGAUACCAGACAUCCCUAAGGUGGUAUUAAGGCCUCAGUUUACCAGAGAGAAGAAGGAAGAAUUAGGCAGGAUAGGGGUCACUCAAACUGAAGAUGGGAAAUGGGUACUUUCUGAUGGGAGAGAAAUGAUAAGUAAACCCCUGAUGAGAGAACUGAUGUCUGUAUUACUCCCCAAAGGGAGUCACUGGGGACCCCAGAGUCCGUGUGAUGCAAUAUUUAAGAAUUAUGGAUAGAUAGGGAUUUAUACCCUCGCUAAACAAGUAUGUGGAAGUUGUGUAACUUGUCAAAGGAUAAACAAAGAGGUGAUUAGAAAACAGUUCAUGGGAGGAAGACCUCCUGGACUAAGACCAUUUCAGAGCAUUCAAGUAGAUUUCACAUAAAUACCCAAAGUAGGAAGACUGAAGUAUUUACUGGUGAUUAUAGGUUACCUUUCCAGCUGGGUGGAAGCCUUUCCCCUUCCAACAGCCACUGCCAGGAAUGUAGUCAAAAUAAUAUUAUAACAGACUGUACCUAGAUUUGGCCUGGUGAAAAACGUUGAUUCAGACAAUGGCAGCCAAUUUACCUCCCGGGUGUUAAGGGGAAUUAUGGAAGGUUUACAAAUUAGAUGGGAUUAUUACACCCCUUGGCAUCCCCCUUCCUCUGGAAAGGUAGAAGGAAUGACUGAAACUCUCAAAAAGCAUUUCACCAAACUAAUAAACUAAAAUGCCUUGGACAAAAUGUCUCCCAAUAGCACUCCUUAGGAAGUCCCAAGAAAAGACUUGGGAUUGUCCCCCUAUGAGUUAUUAUAUGGGCUCCUGUAUUUGGGCAGAGCUACAGAUCUUCCUACUAUGGAAACCAAGGAUCAGUUCUUAAGAAAUUAUAUACAGUCAUUAUCCUCCACCCUGUCAUCCCUUAGGUUAAAAGGACUUCUGACUCAAACUCCUCCUCUUGAGUUUGCAGUUUGCCACUUCCAGCCUGGCGACUAGGUGCUGAUUAAGACUUGGAAAGAAGACAAGCUCCACCCAAGCUGAGAAGGUCCCUGUCAAGUGCUGCUGACCCCUGAGAUGGCCAUAUGUACAGCUGAAUGGGGGUGGACUCACUAUACUUGUCAAGGGACUGGUAAAAGAGACCCUGGAAGGGUGGGAAAAAGACCAGUGGAAAGUACAUGGGUCACCUGAGGAACCCUUAAAAUUAACUCUGAGAUGAAUCUAAAAAGAAAACAUGGGCUGGUCCCAUUUCUGGAAAUUAAUAUGGCUGGGAUGGGCUACUAUGCAAAGAGAAGAAGGUCAAAGUAGAAACUAUCAGGGGACUCCUCCCUACCCACUCAGGUUGGUAAUUAAUGUAAACAAGAUGGUGGCACCCAAGACUAUAAGAUUUGAUGACUGCCAAGGUUUUUACCUUGUAAGAAUUUGGAAAAUCAGAGACAGCUCUCACAUGUGGAUAAAUAUCCACUUCAUAUGAGGUGCUUGGAAUAGUCAAAUUAGAGGUUUCUAGGGGCUAGGGAGAAAAUAAAUGGGGAGUUAUUGUUUAAUAGGUACAGAGUUUCUCUUUCAAAGAAUGAAAAGUUCUGUAAAUGGAUAGUGGUGAUGAUUGCACAACAGUGUGUACUUAAUGCCACCGAACUGUACACUUAAGAAUGGUAAAUUUUAGGUUAUAUUUUACCACAAUAAAAAAUUAAAAUCAACAGUAAAGAAAUCAAUCCAAUUAAAAAUGGGCAAAAGAUUUCAAGACACAUUUCAAUGAAGAGGAUUUACAUAUGGCAAACAAAUGGAAAGUUGUUUAACAUUUCUAGCUAAUAGGGAAAUGCAAAUUAAGACCAUGAGAUAUUAUAACACAUUUAUUAGAGAACCACUAAAAUAAAAAAUGGUGACAACAUUAAUGCUGGCAAAGAUGCAGACAAACUGAUUUCUCAUACAUUGCAAGUGGAAAUGCAAAAUGGUUUAACCACUCUGGAGAAUUGUUUGGAAGUUUCUUAAAAAUUAAACAUGCAGCUAUCAUAUGAUCAAACUGUUGAACUACUAGGUAUUUAUUCCAGAGAAAUGAAAACUUAUGUUCACACAAAUACAUAUACACAAAUGUCCAAAGCAGCUUUAUCUGCAAUAGCCAACAACCAAAAACAAUCAAAAUUGUCAUCAGUAGGUGAAUGGCUAAACAAACUAUGGUCAUCAGUAUGCUGAAUGGCUAAACAAACUGUGGUACAUUCUUACUGUGGAAUAUUACUUAGCAAUAAAAAGAAAGAAACUAUUGAUGGACACAACUUGGAUGGAUUUCAAGGGCAUUUUUAUGCCAAGUGAAGAAAACUAAUCUCAAAAGUCACAUACUAUGUGAUUCCAUUUGUACGACAUUCUCAAUAUGAGGAAAUUUUAGAGAUGAAGAACAGAUUAGUGGUUGCCAAGGGCUAGGUAUAGAUGGGAGAGGCAGAGGGAUGAGUAGAACUUUUAAUAAAGGGGUAGAAUGAGGGUAAUUCUUGUGGUGAUAGAAUAGUUCUGUACCUUGAUUGCGACUGUUGCAUGACUCCAUGUGUGGUAAAGUGGCAUGGAAUUAUACAUAUGUUGUAUCAAUAUCAAUUUCCUGAUUGUGAUAUUAUGCUAUAGUUAUGUAAGAGGUAACAUUGAGGUAUAACUGAGUGAAGAGUACAGAGGAUUUCUCUGUAUUAUCUUUGCAACUUCGUGUGACUGUAUAAUGAUUUCAAAAUUAAAAAGUUUAAAACAUUUAAGUCUUUAAUCCAUCUUGAAUUAAUUUUUGUAUAAGGUGUAAGGAAGGGAUCCAGUUUCAACUUUCUCCAUAUGGCUAGCCAGUUUUCCCAGCACCAUUUAUUAAAUAGGGAAUCCUUUCUCCAUUUCUUGUUUUUGUCAGGUUUGUCAAAGAUCAGAUAAUUGUAGAUAUGUGGCAUUAUUUCUGAGGACUCUGUUCUGUUUCAUUGGUCUAUAUCUCUGUUUUGGUACCAGUACCAUGCUGUUUUGGUUACUGUAGCCUUGUAGUAUAGUUUGAAGUCAGGUAGCAUGAUGCCUCCAGCUUUGUUGUUUUGGCUUAGGAUUGACUUGGCAAUGCAGGCUCUUUUUUGCACCAAAAGCAGUCCUAAAAGGGACAUUUACAGCAAGAAAUGCUUAUGGCAAAAAAGAGAAAAGAUCUUAAAUAAACAUUCUAAUUGAAAAAAAAGUUUAAAACACAACACCCCUUAAAAAACCAACCCUGGCCAUAAGUGGCCUGUACUUUCAAUUAGGUGACUUUAGUCUGCCCUGUUUGAUCUUCCCCACCGAAACAAACCCCAAACUCCAUAAUAUUUAGAAACUAAGAGAUUGGAACUUCCGACAUCAUGUUUUUUAUUUAUUUAUUUAUUUUUGAGACAGAGACCCGCUCUGUUGCCCAGGCUGGAAUGAAGUGGCAUGAUCUCAGUUCACUGCAAUCUCCGCCUCCUGGGUUCAGGAAAUUCUCCUGCCUCAGCCUCCCAAGUAGCUGAGAUUACAGGCGUGCACCACAAUGCCUGGCUAAUUUUUGUAUUUUUAGUAGAGACAGGGUUUCAACAGGCUGGUCUUGAACUUGGCCAGGCUGGCCUUGGAAAUUCUGGCCUCAGGUGAUCCGCCUGCCUCAGCCUCCCAAAAUGUUGGGAUUACAGGUGUGAGCCACUGUGCCCAGCCAGGAUUAUGUUUUAAGAGGCAAAUGGAUUCAUGACUAUGCAUAGACAGUGGCCUAUGCAGCCUAUGAGGCCUACUACACAUUAAUUCUUGCUCUUAUCUAACUAGAUGUAAAUGGGAAACAAGUUAUUAAUAAAUCAUUGUUGCUAGAAAUAAGGGUUUUAGUUCUAGUAUUUAUUAAAUACGAUUAAAAUGUAGGGAUUAUAUAUAUAUCUAUUUGAAUUCUGUGUAAUAAGGAUUCCAACAUGGGCCCUCUAUCAGUUGGAAUUGCUGUGACAGAUUCUUUAUGAAAAAUAAUCUAGAGAGUAAUUGUCUCAGUCAGCUUGGGCUGCCAUAACAAAAUACCAUAGACUGGGUGGCUUAAACAGCAGAAAUUUAUCUUCUAACAGUUCUGGAGGCUGGAAGUCCAAGAUCAAGAUGCCAGUAGCGUUAGUUUCUGGUGAGUGCUCUCUUCCUAAAUUGCAGAUAGCUGUCUUCUUGCUGUGUUUUCACGUGGCCUUUCCUCUGUGCAUGACAGGAGAGAGAAGGAUCUCUGGUUUCUCUUUUUAUAAGAACAUGGGUUCUAUUGGAUUAGGCCCCACCUUUAUGACCUCAUUUAACCUCAGUUACCUCCUUAAAGGUUCUAUCUUCAAAUGCCCAUUGAGGCUUAGGGCUUCUACAUAUACAUUUUUUUGGGGGGGAAGGAGGAAAAAAUUCAGUCCAUAACAGAAACCAAUUUUUUCUCUGUGGAUUGCAUUAUUGCUAUUACCUAAUAGACAUAAAGCUAGUUUUUCUCAAUGAGACACCUAAAAUUGAGUGACUUUUUUGAGUUGUUGCCAGAUCUAUUAAUUAAAAUUUUAAUUGGGGUAGGGCACAGAAAUCUGUGUUGUUAGUAGACCCCAAUUGAUUCUUCUGCAUUACCACGUUUGAGUACAUUAAUCUAAGCAAACCCUCUCCCCACAUUAAAUUGCGGUUGAGAAACUAGAUGGGGAAAAGUUAGGCGUCUUAUUGACACAGCUAUAACUUUACUAGGUUAUGAAUUUCUCAGUGUAUAGUGGAUUGCACUAAAGACUUUGGAGGGAUGGUAUAAAAAGAAACUCACUUUGAGAGACUUAAAUAUUGAAGGCAUCUUAGACUGCUGGCAAAAGCCAUAGCUGAAGAAGCAAGGAGACUAGGAUUAAAAUUCAAGCAUGGUGAACCUCUGCGAGCGUCCAUUCGUCUGAUGCUAAAUAAUUCAUCUUAAUUAGAUUAGUAACCUAAGACUUGAUAUUAUAAGCAAGGGCAAUUUAGGUAGUGAUAAUACUUACAAGAUCUGCUUCAGAUAGAGUUGGUCUAAACAAAGUUUCUUAGAAUACUAAAUUGUUUUUUAAAUUAAAAAAUUCGAUUGCUGGUUGGCAGUUUAAUUCUCUGUGGGGUAUAUGGAAUUUACAUUCAAUAUGAUCCAAAGAUGCAUGAUAAGUAAGUAAAACAUAUAGUGUGUUAGUUGGUGUAAAGUGCUAUGAGGAAAAGUAAUUCAGGGAAGGGGGUGAUAGUAAUUACAGUUUUAAGUAGUAUGAUCACGAAAUGCUUGUUAAGAGUGGUGACAUUUGAGCAAAGCUCCAAAGGACCCUGCAGACAUCUGGGGGAAAGAGUAGUCCCACAGAAGGACCAGCAACUGCUAUGGCUGGUGUGGCUGGAGUGAUUUCAAGGGAGGCUGUUAGGAACGGAAGUCAAAUAGCAUGGGCUAUUGCAAACACUUUGGCUUGUACUUCAGGUGAGGUAGAGAGACAUUGGAGGGUUUUAAGCAGAGAGAUGGCAUGAUUUGACUUGAUGUUUUAAAAAUAUCAGUCUGCAAUAUUAUCAAAGUCAAUUCUUUCCAAAGUUAUUAUUUUUUUUGGAAAUUUAAUAUAGUCACAACUACAGUGCCACCAGGUAAUUUUUUUCAUGGAGUUAAACCUAUGUUCAAUAUACAGUUUAAUUGGGAAAAUUAAAUGUGUUUAAUUUAAAUUUAAAUUAAAUAAAAC